AGGCAAAUCCGGUGUUCUGUUGAUCUGAGAUACGAGACGAAGUUAAACUUGUUUGACGACGCUAUUGAUACCUUGCUUCCAGGAAAAGCUUCUAAGUAUAUUGUAUAAGUGACCGUACUGUAACCCGACACUGGUGGGUAGGUAGAGAAUACUAAGGCUAUGAGAGAACUCUGGUGAAGGAACUAGGCAAAAUGACACCGUAACUUUGGAAGAAGGGGUGCCCUUGAUGGUGAUGAGACUUGCUCUUUGAGCUGUUGGGGGUUGCAGAUACCAGGU
rnacentral:rRNA from 1 species